rnacentral:rRNA from 1 species
AUCGUUAUUUUAGUUUUUAACCCGAUGGUUUUUAUUUAUAUUUUUAGAAUAUAAAUAAAAAUAUAAAUUACAAUCCAGAGGGACAAAAGUAUAGAGUAAGGUGUAAAGGUGAGUAAUGAUAAAUAAGAUACCUUAUAGUCCUUUUAAAUAGAGGAUAUUAAUAUAAUAUCAAUUAUAUGGCAUAAUAUAGCUUAAUUAUGAAGAAAGGAAAUUUUCUACUAUAAGAGUCGAUUUAU